AGUGAACGCUGGCGGUAGGCCUAACACAUGCAAGUCGAACGGCAGCACAGUAAGAGCUUGCUCUUACGGGUGGCGAGUGGCGGACGGGUGAGGAAUACAUCGGCAUCUACUUUUUCGUGGGGGACAACGUAGGGACACUUACGCUAAUACAGCAUACGAUCUACGGGUGAAAGCAGGGGAGCUUCGGACCUUGCGCGAUUGAAUGAGACGAUGUCGGAUUAGCUAGUUGGCGGGGUAAAGGCCCACCAAGGCAACGAUCCGUAGCUGGUCUGAGAGGAUGAUCAGCCACACUGGAACUGAGACACGGUCCAGACUCCUACGGGAGGCAGCAGUGGGGAAUAUUGCACAAUGGGCGCAAGCCUGAUCCAGCCAUACCGCGUGGGUGAAGAAGGCCUUCGGGUUGUAAAGCCCUGUUGUUAGGAAAGAAAAGCAGCGGAUGAAUACCCCGCUGUUCUGACGGUACCCAAAGAGUAAGCACCGGCUAACUUCGUG
rnacentral:rRNA from 1 species